rnacentral:rRNA from 1 species
CCUACGGGGGGCAGCAGUAAGGAAUAUUGGUCAAUGGAGGAAACUCUGAACCAGCCAUCCCGCGUGAAGGAUGAAGGGGCUCUGCCUUGUAAACUUCUUUUGUCUGGGGCGAAAAAGCUCGAUUUAUCGAGAACUGACGGUACCAGAAGAAUAAGCACCGGCUAACUCCGUGCCAGCAGCCGCGGUAAUACGGAGGGUGCAGGAAUUAUCCGGAAUCACGGGGUUGAAGGCGUGCUAAUAAGUCAGUGGUGAAAGGCUGUGGCUUAACCAUGGAAUUGCCAUUGAUACUGCAGAGCGUGAGUGAGGUUGAGGUUGGCGGAAUGUGACAUGUAGCGGUGAAAUGCUUAGAUAUGUCAUGGAACACCGAUGGCGAAGGCAGCUGACUGGACCUAUAUUGACGCUGAGGCACGAAAGCGUGGGGAGCGAACAGGAUUAGAUACCCGUGUAGUC